rnacentral:rRNA from 1 species
UACGUAGGGGGCAAGCGUUGUCCGGAAUCAUUGGGCGUAAAGAGCGUGUAGGCGGUUCGGUAAGUCGGCUGUGAAAGUCCAGGGCUCAACCCUGGGAUGCCGGUCGAUACUGCCGGACUAGAGUUCGGAAGAGGCGAGUGGAAUUCCCGGUGUAGCGGUGAAAUGCGCAGAUAUCGGGAGGAACACCUAUGGCGAAGGCAGCUCGCUGGGACGUUACUGACACUGAGGAGCGAAAGCGUGGGUAGCAAACAGG